CAUCCGGUGAAAUAGCUGUCUCAUUAUUCUGUCUGUGGUAAGACUUUAUGGGCAGGUCUCGAGAGUAUGUAGAAAGUUAUGUCCUAUUUGUUUGUUUUUCCUCGUGUUUUCAUGGACCUGCAAAUGCAUCAAUAGGCAACCAGUAUCCCAAACGGACCAUUUAAAACUGGUUAUUUAAAGACAAUCUAUUAUAGCCAACACCCAGAGGUAGAGAGCAUGAGGGCCAACUCCUUUCAGUUCACUCUGGAGGGAGAGCCCUUUCACAUCCUGGGGGGCUCUAUCCACUACUUCCGUGUCCCCAGAGCCUACUGGGAGGACCGGCUGCUGAAGAUGAGGGCCUGUGGGGUCAACACUCUCACCACAUAUGUGCCAUGGAACCUGCAUGAGCAAAAGAGAGGGAUUUUAAAGGCGUACAUCAGGCUAGCAGCAGAGUUGGGGCUCUGGGUGAUUCUGCGGCCAGGACCCUACAUCUGUGCUGAGUGGGACUUAGGAGGGAUGCCCAAGUUAGAUGUUCCCAGAUUUUAACAUUUUAGCCCAGUUGGUUGCUGUGUGAUCCAGACAUGAAGUUGAGAACAACCUACCCAGGUUUCACAGAAGCAGUUGACUCCUUCUUUGAUCAACUCAUUCCAAGAGUUGCACCAUAUCAGGUUCAUCCUUUCUCACUUUCUCACUACUCUUCUAUUAAUUACACUAGGGUUUCCAUUUUUCCUGUUCAUUUGUGAGUGACAACAAUGUGACCGCAUAUGGUCGUUGAUUAUGGCUAUCAAAAUACAAAAAUAUUCUUAAAAUGUGAAGCUUGGUGUUUUAUCAAUCCCAAAGGCUUUGAAAAUGUAUGCUUGACUUACUCAGGAGUCAUUUGAAAGCUCUGCUCUUAUUUGAUUUAUUAUUUAAAACUCUCAGUACUCCAAGGGGGGCCCAAUUAUAGCAGUUCAAGUGGAGAAUGAGUAUUGCUCUUAUGCAAAAGAUGUUGAAUACAUGCUAUACAUAAAAGAGGCACUAUUGUCCAGGGGGAUCGAGGAACUGCUCCUGACCUCAGAUAACCAGGAUGGGCUGAAGCACGGGGGAGUGAAUGGAGCCCCAGAAGUUCAAGAUGGUGAUGGAGUAUUGGUCUGAGUGGUUUGACCGCUGGGGUGACCUUCACCAUGUUUUUGCUGCAGAGGACAUGGUUGCUAUUGUGACGGAAAUCCUGAAAGAGGAUGCAUCAAUCAAUCUCUACAUGUUCCACGGAGGAACAAAUUUUGGCUUCAUGAACGGGGCCUUUGCAAUUGCCACACCCAUGCCUAAGCCAAUGGUAACAAGCUAUGGUACAUUCUAUUUGCAUCUUUAUAUUACUUGCUGUCCACUUGUUUUAUAAUCAAUGUGUUCUCAUAGUUGACCUUGUUAUUUCGCUUUAUUGAAACAUAACUCUGAUAAAGACUUUACACCAGCCAGUUAUACAAGCAGGGUUACAGUAAUAUACUGUCACUGUACUGUUAGUAAAGGCCAGUAGAUGGUG